rnacentral:rRNA from 1 species
GGGCCAGUAGGUUGGUCGUGCCACCGGUACGUACUGGUCUCACUGAUUCCUCCUUCCUGGAGAACCGUAUGCCAUUAAUUUGGUGUUGCGGGGAAACAGGACUGUUACUUUGAAAAAAUUAGAGUGUUUAAAGCAAGCUAACGCUUGAAUACAUUAGCAUGGAAUAAUGAAAUAGGACGAUCGAUCCUAUUUUGUUGGUUUCUAGGAUUGACGUA